CCUACGGGGGGCAGCAGUGAGGAAUAUUGGUCAAUGGCCGGAAGGCUGAACCAGCCAUGCCGCGUGAAGGUCAGUGCCCUAUGGGCGUUAAACUUCUUUUGUGCGGGAGCAAGAAUGGUCACGUGUGGCCAGACGAGAGGACCGUACGAAUAAGCAUCGGCGAACUCCGUGCCCGCAGCCGCGGUAAGACGGGGGAUGCAAGCGUUAUCCGGAUUUCUUGGGUUUAAAGGGUGCGUAGGCUGUGAGGUAAGUCAGCGGUGAAAUGCCCCCGCUCAACGGGGUGAAGGGCCAUUGAUACUGCCUUGCUGGAUUGCGGCUGCCGUGGGCGGAAUGUGUGGUGUAGCGGU
rnacentral:rRNA from 1 species